rnacentral:lncRNA from 1 species
CACCAGCGCCCGACAGAUGGGGCUUUAAAGACAGAAAAUUUUAUCAAGACCUCCACAAACCAGACCCCAGAUUCCCUCAAUCGUUGAGUGAGUCCCGGGACUCGCUCCACAGGGCCAGGAUGUUCAGGGACCUAGGCUGAGCUGUCAGUGUGAGGUGACUGAGUGGGAUGUGAGGUGUCUGAGUGGGGUGUGAGGUGUCUGAGUGGGGUGUGAGGUGCCUGAGUGGGGUGUGAGGUGUCUGAGUGGGGUGUGAGGUGACUGAGUGGGGUGUGAGGUGUCUGAGUGGGGUGUGAGGUGACUGAGUGGGGUGUGAGGUGUCUGAGUGGGGUGUGAGGUGACUGAGUGGGGUGUGAGGUGACUGAGUGGGGUGUGAGGUGACUGAGUGGGAUGUGAGGUGCCUGAGUGGGGUGUGAGGUGUCUGAGUGGGGUGUGAGGUGACUGAGUGGGGUGUGAGGUGUCUGAGUGGGGUGUGAGGUGACUGAGUGGGGUGUGAGGUGACUGAGUGGGGUGUGAGGUGACUGAGUGGGGUGUGAGGUGGGGACUGGAGGGGCUGCAGUUCAGGUCACCCUCAGCCUGAUACCCAGAGGAGCUUAAAGGAGUUCCCAGGGGGAGGGUAAACACACAGGGUGUCUGAGGGUGUGUCCCUGUCUGUGCAUAACAGCCAAGGAGGCCUCAGAAGACAGGGAUCCUGGGCCUUGGAAAUUUGUCCUGAAGGAAGGCUGCCUGGAAAACUUCCCAGGGCCUGGCCGGGCAGGAGCAGGCUUUGAUUGACAGGAGGCAAAACACUGACGCCAAGUCUACCUGGGAUUGGCUCUGGCCUCCAGCUGCGCCCACACCUACCUUAGCAGGAAGGAAACUUUGGAGCCAACCUUGCCCAGACUGCCCGGCCUGGACUGAAAACUGCUAAAACACACGUGGUCAUCCACUCAGCAGGUCCUCUCCCACACCAAGUGGGCUGGCCGGUUUCUAGAUCCUUCAUAAGUGAGGGGUUGUGAAGAGGGUGUGCCGUGCCCUCCUAAGGGGGCAGGAAGGGGUCACAGCCCAGGCACUCCGAGUGGAAAGGGAGAGAAAAGCCUGCUGUUUGUCCAGGAGCUGAACAGACACUGGAGCUCUUGUCCUGGGGGGAGCGGGGGAGGCCCUGUGGCCAG